rnacentral:tRNA from 1 species
GCCCGGAUGGCGGAAUUGGCAGACGCAGUGGACUCAAAAUCCACCGAUGGCAACAUCGUGAGGGUUCGACCCCCUCUCCGGGUA